CUUGAACGCUGGCGGCAUGCCUUACACAUGCAAGUCGAACGGCAGCAUGAUCUAGCUUGCUAGAUUGAUGGCGAGUGGCGAACGGGUGAGUAAUACAUCGGAACGUGCCCUGUAGUGGGGGAUAACUAGUCGAAAGAUUAGCUAAUACCGCAUACGACCUGAGGGUGAAAGUGGGGGACCGCAAGGCCUCAUGCUAUAGGAGCGGCCGAUGUCUGAUUAGCUAGUUGGUGAGGUAAAGGCUCACCAAGGCGACGAUCAGUAGCUGGUCUGAGAGGACGAUCAGCCACACUGGGACUGAGACACGGCCCAGACUCCUACGGGAGGCAGCAGUGGGGAAUUGUGGACAAUGGGGGCAACCCUGAUCCAGCAAUGCCGCGUGUGUGAAGAAGGCCUUCGGGUUGUAAAGCACUUUUGUCCGGAAAGAAAUCGCACUUACUAAUAUUAGGUGUGGAUGACGGUACCGGAAGAAUAAGGACCGGCUAACUACGUGCCAGCAGCCGCGGUAAUAC
rnacentral:rRNA from 1 species